AGCAGCCGCGGUAAUUCCAGCUCCAAUAGCGUAUAUUAAAGUUGUUGCAGUUAAAAAGCUCGUAGUUGAAUUUCGGGAUUGGCAUGUUGGUCGUGCCCUAAGGGGUAUGAACUGACAUUGUUGAUUCUCACCUCUUGGAGAAACAUGAUUCCCUUAAUUGGGUGUUAUGUGGAACCAGGACCUUUACCUUGAAAAAAUUAGAGUGUUUAAAGCAGGCAUUUUUGCUCGAAUACAUUAGCAUGGAAUAAUAAAAUAGGACGGCUUGAUUCUAUUUUGUUGGUUUCUAGGAUCACCGUAAUGAUUAAUAGGGAUAGUUGGGGGCAUUAGUAUUCAAUUGUCAGAGGUGAAAUUCUUGGAUUUAUUGAAGACUAACUACUGCGAAAGCAUUUGCCAAGGAUGUUUUCAUUAAUCAAGAACGAAAGUUAGGGGAUCGAAGACGAUCAGAUACCGUCGUAGUCUUAACCAUAAACUAUGCCGACUAGGAAUCAGACGAUGUUAAUUUUUUAAUGACUCGUUUGGCUAACCG
rnacentral:rRNA from 1 species